AGUGAACGCUGGCGGUAGGCCUAACACAUGCAAGUCGAACGGCAGCACAGUAAGAGCUUGCUCUUACGGGUGGCGAGUGGCGGACGGGUGAGGAAUACAUCGGAAUCUACUUUUUCGUGGGGGAUAACGUAGGGAAACUUACGCUAAUACCGCAUACGACCUACGGGUGAAAGCAGGGGAUCUUCGGACCUUGCGCGAUUGAAUGCGCCGAUGUCGGAUUAGCUAGUUGGCGGGGUAAAGGCCCACCAAGGCGACGAUCCGUAGCUGGUCUGAGAGGAUGAUCAGCCACACUGGAACUGAGACACGGUCCAGACUCCUACGAGAGGCAGCAGUGGGGAAUAUUGGACAGUGGGCGCAAGCCUGAUCCAGCCAUACCGCGUGGGUGAAGAAGGCCUUCGGGUUGUAAAGCCCUUUUGUUGGGAAAGAAAAGCAGCAGGUUAAUACCCCGCUGUUCUGACGGUACCCAAAGAAUAAGCACCGGCUAACUUCGUG
rnacentral:rRNA from 1 species